GCAAUUGAAUUCUGUCAUCAUCCCUCUGCACAUUCCAGAUGGGUGGAGCUAGGGAAAGCCUUCAUGGAAAGGGUUUCAUCUUUCUGAACAUUCACCACACUGGUGGACAAAUCCUUUUUGUGUGAGGAAGAUGUGGCUGUUGGGAGAGUCAAGUAAUUGAAUGACGUGAAUUUCCUGGAGUUUCCAUAAGUUCCUGUAAAUUUAGCCUCCAACUGAAAUAAACCAACUGAAUGUAAGACAUCAGACCCUAAAGAACCAAAGUUGUUAUUUCUGUGGAAGACCAGCCAACCUAUUCUCACAGCUGAAACAAUGGAUCUGGCCUGCAGAGUGUUAAGGCAUUCUCCAAGUUUCAAAACAAGAGUACACCAUUUUGAAGGCCUAUAAAUAGAAAGAAUUUUUCAAAUAUUAAUUCAGUAAUGACCUCUGUCUUUGGAAAAGAUAAUUGCAAUGUGUUACUGCGAACCAAUUUAAACCUGUAUUUCUCAUUGCAUUUAAUAUUUAAUUUUGUUUUUUAUCAUUAUAUAUCAACAGUUCUUUCUGGAGCAAAGCAAUCCUAUUUGACUUUUUUUUUUUUUAACCUUAUAGUGCACACACACAUGUAUGUGUAGGGUUAUUUAAACAAGGAAACAUUUACAUCAAAAUGUGCAAAGAGUUAUCCUGGAAUAGAAAUGCUGAAAAUAUAUUUUCAAGAAGUUUUAAAAUUCUAGGCUGGCCUCAAUGUAUUCAGUAGCAUGCCAGAAACAGAAAAAAAAAUUUAAUCUCUCCAUUUGCUUAUUCCUAUUAACAUAUAUAGAAAAAAAACUUGCUCUAAACCUAAUGCCUAUGCGAUAUGUUUGUUUCCUGAUGCUGAUGAUAAAUCAUAACCGGGCACUUGGUUAUAUUUUUUAAUGUUCUACAUUUCUAGCACUGCUACUGUAUUCACAAUGAGCUUUAUAUCUGACAGUAAUUUUAUUUUCAGGUUCAGUCAUAUGAUGCCUUUCUAUAGGAAUAGGUUCUAUCACAGGAACAAAUUAUUCAAAUCUAGUUUAACGGACUCAGCAAUUCUCCUCAGUUUUAUCUUGGGCAUUUUGUAUUCCUUUGCCUAAACCUAGUGGCUAUGUAACAAUUCAAUUACCAAAGUCCUUCAUCCAGAAAGUGCUGUUGAUUUCCAGUAAUUCUUAUUCUGUUUGAUUUCUUUUUUUUUUCCUCCUAGUUUAACACAUGCCAGUUGGUGUCGACUGAGUUAAAAAUCUUGAAAUAAGCCUGGCACUGUGUCAGUACAUAGGUUAAAAAAUGAAACAAAAAAAUUUAAUAAAAUAUACGCUAGAAAUGGAAAAUAAGAUUAGCAGUGGCAUUUCUUGUCAUAAGGACAUUUUCUGUCUAUGCACACAAAAUAAAACCAGCUCAGUGUAGCUGAAGAAGAGAGGAAAGAGAGAGGUGGUAUAAAUUGAAAGACGAAAAGGCAGAGACUGAGUGUACAGAAGCGCGUUGAGAGCAUGCAGUCAGCUGGCAAGAAAAGGCAACUCGAAGAGCCUCAGAAGGUAAAACCUCAGUUGGCAGAUAAAGUGGGUAAGAAGCAAGUUUUGAAAUAAAAUAGCAAUAGCAUAAGCAACUUGAAGGAAGAUGAAAAGAGCAAGGUGAUAAAAGUAUGCAAGAGUCUUUGGAGAUUAUUAGUAAUUUUAGGGAAUUACAAUGAUGAAAAGUUAUAAGGGAAAAAGACUUUACAUAUUCUUUAAUAAAAGAAAAUUACCUGUCAAAAUCUGUCUGCAUAGACACUAGUAUUAGAUUCUUGUUCUUCAAGAAAAAGGCAUGUCUGCUGGUCAGGCUGAGGUAUCAUCUAUCCUCUAUUUCUCUAAAUAAUGUUUUUCUGAUAAAAUAUGCAAAUACACAAUACACAUAUAUAUUUUGUGUGUAUAUUAUGUGUAUAUGUGUGUGUGUGUACAUACUUAUACAUAAAAUAAACACUCUGGAACUAAAAUUUCAAAGAAAGUCAAAGAAAAUAGACAAUAGUGGAACUCCACAAAACUUACCAGUAACCUGAAAUAGUGUAACAAAUUUAAAAUUAAUUCCCAUAAAUCUUCUACAU
rnacentral:lncRNA from 1 species